UACGUAGGUGGCGAGCGUUUGUCCGGAUUUACUGGGCGUAAAGGGCUUGUAGGCGGUCCGUUAAGUCCGAUGUGAAAUCUCCCGGCUCAACUGGGAGAGGUCAUUGGAUACUGGCGGACUAGAGGGGGGUAGAGGAAAGCAGAAUUCCUGGUGUAGCGGUGAAAUGCGUAGAUAUCAGGAGGAAUACCAGUGGCGAAGGCGGCUUUCUGGGCCUACCCUGACGCUGAGGAGCGAAAGCGUGGGGAGCAAACCGG
rnacentral:rRNA from 1 species